UAAGGUGCUUCCUACACCCACUUCCAGCUGGCCAAGUAGGACCAAGAUAAUCAUCACAGAGUAAGAGGAGAGGUGGGGAUGCCUCUCAGAUCUAAGUCUUCAAAGACAAACCAGCCGCACAUCCUGUAAAGAUUGUGUUUGUCUCCUGACUCUAGCAGACAGCACUGAAUGAGAUUCUUGGGACAGUUACUGAAAACUGGCAACAGGUUGUGUGACUCACCUCCACCUCCUGGGGCCAUCCUGCUGCAGUAAUGGGCUUAGGCCAGCUCCCCUUCCCCGGUCUCACGUUUGUACCAUCCCUUCCCAUGUGCUGUGUGCGCCGAUAAGGUGACCGUUCAAACCUAAGGCAAAGAAAACUGCAGGCCAGUCAUGAUUAGUGAGCCGCUCAGAAGACCAUACCUCUGUGUCUUUUUCAGUGCCACAUGGGGCUUUGCUAUCCAUGCAUAAACUGAGCUGGUGGCUCCUGGGGCUGCCUAUGGAGGCAGAAUUUUCAACCCUCCAGCUCUCCUGCUCAGCACCACAUCAGGAGAGCAGCAAGCCUCUCUCUCUGGAAUGAAGAGGCCGCAGCCAGUGCCUUGAUCAUCCAACAGCAGAUUCUACCCAAUGGAAAAGCCAGAGUUUUGCAUGUCAAAUAAAUAGUAGUGGAUGUGAUUUAGUGGUCUCAUUUCUCUGAUGAAAUACCCAACAGGACAAUUUAAGGAAGAAAGAGUUUAUUUUUAGCUCACAGUUUAAAGGUGCAGUCCACCACAGUGGAGGAAGCUUGGCAGUGAGAACAGUGGGAUCAGGAGUGAGGCAGCUGGUCACAUUGCAUCUGCAGUCAGAUUCUCUCAAAGGUGCAUCCAAUCUAAUCAAACGACAGUGAAAAUGAGCCAUGGAUGCCAGCCCCUGAAGAAUGCAUAGCUCUGUGGAUAUAUGAAUAGGCUGGAAGUCCUAUGUUCAUUUUCACUAUUGCUAUUGUUUGAAGUUUUAUGUAUUUUAAUUUUAUUGUGAAUGAAUAUUAGCAUGCAUGUAUACAAGUGUACUAUGCAUGCCUAGUGCCCGAGAAGAUCAGAAGAAGAUGAUGAUCCUCUGGAACUAGUUUGUAAGAUGCUAUGUGGAUACUGGGGCUCAAACUCAACUCCUCUGCAACUGUAGCAACUGUUGUGGGGCAGUGGUGGUGCGUGCCUUUAAUCCCAGCCCAUGGGAGGCAAAGACAGGAAAAUUUCUGUGAGUUCCAGGCCAGUCUGGUCUACAGAGCAUGUUCCAUCACAGCCAGUGCAACACACAGAAACUCUUUCUCAAGAGAGAGAGAGAGAGAGAGAGAGAGAGAGAGAGAGAGAGAGAGAGAGAGAGAGAGAGAACCAAUUGCUUUGAACCACUGAGACAUCUCCCCAGCCCCACCUCACUACUGCUCUAUCAGGGUAGCAGGUCCCCUAACCCAUACUCUAGUCUAGGUGAACCAAGACUAGAAAGGGUGGGGAGAGUUUCAUUAGGUAUUUGGAAAAGAGUACACACCUCUGAGAUAGACGGCCUUUCUGUGAGAAAGGCCUUGAGGUGGUAGAUAGUGAGUGAGGCUCUCCCUCAGAGCAAGAAUGGGAGUGGAUGGAGAGAGUACAAGAACAAUCUAUAAUGUCUGUAGAGGAAGAAGCAGGCCAGGCAUGUUAGAAACAGCCUAAGAGGACUGGAGAGAUGGCCCAGAGGUUGAACACACUGACCGCACUUUCAGAGGUACUGAGGUCAAUUCCCAGCAACCACAUGGCGGCUCACAACCAUCUGUGAUGUGAUCUUGCUGCCCUCUUCUGGCAUGUAGUACAGAACACUGUAAUAUAUAUAUAUAUAAACAGCUGAAAACUCUAACAGCCAUGUGGGACCAAGGCUUUGUUUCCUGACCUUGGGUGAGUCAGCUCCAUAGUUAUCUUUCCUAAUCCCCUGAGUAAAACCCAGGUGAGAGGUAAAGACAGACCAAUAACUAGCUCAAAAUGUAUACAUACAACCUAUAUAUGUAUGUGUAGGAAGAAACAAAAGCUCAGAAACUACACACAAAUCUUGCUAGGAACAAAAAUUUGAAAGCUUGUAACUCCAGGACUUGAGGGUGAAACCAGUUGGGUGGCCAGGAGUUCAGAGUCAUCCUUGACUAUAUAGCAAGUUCAAAACCAACCUGAACUACAUCAGACCCUGUCUGAAAAAUGAAAACAAAACAAUAAAACAUAUCUAAGGAGUCCCUUGUGCUAGAAGCUCUAUAAGUCAUCUUUUCCAACACACCUGACUGGCCAGUUUCCAGGCAUCCCCAGAGGACCUGAGUGUAGGACAUUCUUACUAUGUUGAUUAGGCUGUAUCUAAACUCCUCAUCUUCUGUUUCAGUCUCUGUAGCAGCUGUAACUCCACAUGUUCACCAUUGGUAAGCGGGAUCUGCUUAUUUUAAAGUGUUUUCUGUGAUCCUAGGCAUCCAGUAAGGUCAGUGAAUGAGGUGAAACAGGGGCUAAAGCUUGUGAGUAGCUUUUAAAAGGAAUCCUUCAAAACUUUGCACUCAAAAUAAUUAAAAUGGAAGAUGUGUCCGGGGAAGAGCAUACUAAUUGGUUAUCCAAUAGCAAAUGGUCAACCUUGAGAACAAAAUACAAAGUAGCAUUAUACAGAUGGAGCCGGUUAUAUUUAGGAAUAUAUAUGUAUGUACAUAUUUGCAUGUAGCAACAAUUAAUGAAAAAAAGAGGCCAUGAAUUUGAAAGAGAGAAAAGAGUGGUGGCAUACAGGAGAUGCUGGAGGGAGGAAAGGGAGAAAUGAUAGAGUUGUAAUUUCAAAAAUAAAAAAGAUAAUUA
ensembl:processed_transcript